rnacentral:rRNA from 1 species
UGGGGAAUUUUGGACAAUGGGCGAAAGCCUGAUCCAGCAAUGCCGCGUGUGUGAAGAAGGCCUUCGGGUUGUAAAGCACUUUUGUCCGGAAAGAAAUCCUUGGCUCUAAUACAGUCGGGGGAUGACGGUACCGGAAGAAUAAGCACCGGCUAACUACGUGCCAGCAGCCGCGGUAAUACGUAGGGUGCAAGCGUUAAUCGGAAUUACUGGGCGUAAAGCGCGCGCAGGCGGUUUGCUAAGACCGAUGUGAAAUCCCCGGGCUCAACCUGGGAACUGCAUUGGUGACUGGCAGGCUAGAGUAUGGCAGAGGGGGGUAGAAUUCCACGUGUAGCAGUGAAAUGCGUAGAGAUGUGGAGGAAUACCGAUGGCGAAGGCAGCCCCCUGGGCCAAUACUGACGCUCAUGCACGAAAGCGUGGGGAGCAAACAGGAUUAGAUACCCUGGUAGUCCACGCCCUAAACGAUGUCAACUAGUUGUUGGGGAUUCAUUUCCUUAGUAACGUAGCUAACGCGUGAAGUUGACCGCCUGGGGAGUACGGUCGCAAGAUUAAAACUCAAAUGAAUUGACGGGGUCAUAGCUGUUUCCU